rnacentral:lncRNA from 1 species
AUCAACUUUGAUCGGCAAAGGCUGUACUCUUUCUCUAAUGAAGGUGAAUGCCAAGGGAAGUCAGAGAAAUGAGUGAGAGGUAUACGUGGGGUAUUUGGUCUACACUAUCUUUAGAAUGGUUCACAACCUUUGAAAGGCAGUUUGCCAAGGUCCUGAAAAUCACCAUCUGGAGGUUGAUGGCAAAAUGCUGACUCCUGUCAUGAAGUAGCAAGAUGGAAGAGCACUGACCUUGGAUAAUUCCCAAAGGAAAUUGCUGAUGAAGGGUAGAAGACAGAAGGGCAAGAAAACGCAAGAGCAAGAGAGCAAGUGGUGGCUGAAGAACUCACUUUCAUAACAAGAACCUCUGACAGUAACUAAUGCACUCUGGUGGUAAGGACAUUAAUCCAUGUAUGAUAGCAGAACCCUCAUGACUUAAUCACUUCUUUUUAGGCCCCACCUCCCAACACUGUUGUAUUGGAUAGUAAGUUUCCAGCAUAUGAACUUUGGAGAACACGUUCAAACCAUAGCAUUGAUCAAACAAUACAAUUUAUGGUUUGGGUUUAGUUCACACAGUUUUGUAACAUGGCCAAAUUUAGUAUGGCAGUACAACCUAAGAAGUCACAGAAUACUUCCAUCAAAAGAAUACAUGCUGGGUAGGAUCUUUGAAGGACACUCCUAAUUGGCCAUGGGAAUGACUAAAGUAAUCUUGGCCCUGGCAGUCUUAGCAAAAUGCUCAUUUAGCCUUCAGAUCAGACUGUAUUUUUCUCUUGAGGAAAAAAUGUAUUUUAAUACAGUGAAAUGAUUUCCUUUUACCUAUUCAUUACCGACCAAGUAUGUUUGUCUGCAAUCUUUAUGGAAAAUAAUAUAAUAUUGGGUUGUCCAAGAAAAGUAAAACCAGCUUUUUCUGAAAAUAAAUUGUAGUUUGAGUUAAGUAGCUUUAUGCAAUAGAAAUGUUGCUUGGGAUAAUGACGUUUCUGGCUGGCUGCCUUGUUUGAUGUUCC